rnacentral:rRNA from 1 species
AAUGAACGCUGGCGGCGUGCCUAAUACAUGCAAGUCGAGCGAAGCGGGGACGGGUGAGUAACACGUGGAAAACCGCCUAUAGGACGGGGAAAACAUCGGGAAACCGGGGCUAAACCGGAUAGUUAUCAAUGGGUACGCGCUGCAUUGGCGGGUUGGGAAGGUAACGGCUGACCAAGGCAACGAUGCCUAGCCGACCUGAGAGGGUGACCGGCCACACUGGAACUGAGACACGGUCCAGACUCCUACGGGAGGCAGCAGUAGGGAAUCUUCCGCAAUGGGCGAAAGCCUGACGGAGCCACGCCGCGUGAGUGAUGAAGGUCUUCGGAUCGUAAAACACUGUUAUCAGGGAAGCGGUACCUAAUCAGAAAGCCACGGCUAACUACGUGCCAGCAGCCGCGGUAAUUC